rnacentral:rRNA from 1 species
UACGUAGGGCGCAAGCGUAUCCGGAAUUAUUGGGCGUAAAGAGCUCGUAGGCGGUUUGUCGCGUCUGCUGUGAAAGACCGGGGCUCAACUCCGGUUCUGCAGUGGGUACGGGCAGACUAGAGUGCAGUAGGGGAGACUGGAAUUCCUGGUGUAGCGGUGAAAUGCGCAGAUAUCAGGAGGAACACCGAUGGCGAAGGCAGGUCUCUGGGC